CCGUCGAUCUGAUCCAACGACCGCAAUAGCCUGGAACCACCAACUCCACACGUUUCCUUAUCCAAUCCUCAGUCUCUGUCUUCUCCACGCUCUCCUCCGAUGGAGCCGCCGCCGCGCCCGCUUCUCACCGCCUCUCGUCCGUCGCUGCUGCUUCCCCACCGCUCGUCGUGCCGUCCCUCGCUUCCUCCCAGACCUCCUCUGCCGCUGGACCGGCUCUCGCCUCCCUCGACUGAACCUAGGGUUUGACGCGCCACCGCCUCCCCUGCUGUGUACUCCGCAGCCGGCGGCGCCAGCAGCCCAACCAUCGCCUCUCGCGGACACCUCCCCUGCUAGUCGCCUACCUUGCCUCUCCGGCCACCCUGACCCUCGUCUGCAUCCUGCCCCGAGGUCAUCUCCACCGCACCGUCCUCCGGCUCCCUCCGGGUUCCACAUCCAACUCGUCUCCGGCCGGCUGACUCGCCCAGCAGUUCGCCGCCACCUGCCUGUACUCCCUUAGGUGUGGGAUUUCUCUGCCGUGCUUGCUUUACUCCUCCCCCAAAAUGCAAGAUACUCAGAAAUCAUUGACGACUAGAAGAAUAAGCGCACGGUGGCUGGAAACGGAGACUGGAAUGGCAGUGGCUGGAUGUGUGAUGGUCGGGCGGCAAGGAGACGGCGCUUGGGGUCAACCGAUAGUCAAUGAGGUUCCAUUGUAUGACACCGUGUGCAGCCUCUCCACUGAUACGCACCUAAGUACCAUUACCGAUGCUGAUCCACAUAUGUUCCCUGCUCCUUGGUUCCAGAUCCGGGCGACGGUUGCUGCCUGACUGACGCUGCAGGCGUGUGGAGGAGCUUGCCGGCAAUUGUUUCCGGCUGCAGGUAGACUGCAUGUAUCAACUGGCAAGAGUAGAUUUUUUAUGUGCGCUACAUUUAGGGUGAGAUUGCCGGUGAAGAUCUCUACCUCUUCCUUCUGCUGUUCAUCUCACAUCUCGGCGGCCCAUACCCUUUGCAAUUUGUUCAUACCAGGGCUUCAAUCAGCGUCACAGUUUUCGCAGAUCUCAGAACCUAUAUCUCAACGUUACUAAGUUUGGGGACCUGACUUGUUCGCCAGGUUUCAAGCCAGGUGGGUGUGCUGGACGGGUAGUUGAGUUAUGCAGAGUUUUGUAUUUUGUACGGAUGUAGGAGACCCAUGGAAUUUUGUUCUAGAUAAUCGCGGGUUUGGUCUACGGCAGGUAGUUUAUUGCAUGAGCGUUUAGCUCAGCAAUCUGUGCCUUUUAUGCUUCAUGUAUAUGUGAAAUGAAAAUCCAACUGUAGUAACUUUUGGAGCUGUACGUGUUCAUCUUUUCGAUUGAAGUAAAUUUUGUUGCGGCUGAGAUGCCGUCAGGCACCGGAGGAAGAAAAGCAGGGGCAAUUUUGUU